CUUUGAUCAAGCAUUUCUUCAGUGAGAUUUAAAGAACAGUUUUGGAUAGUCUCCGAUGGAUCAAGACUUCAGGUUGUGUUAUAGAAUCAGCAAUAAUCUUAGACAUUUGACUGUCUGUGUUGUUGCUGAAGAGUGUAGUCUGGAUGAAGAAGGUAUACAAAAACAAAUGUGGAAAAAUAUGAGGAAAGAAGACUGCUGUCUGAAAGGAAAGAGAGCAAGAGAGAUUUACUGAUAAUUUAGAUCCUACUCACUAUUCUUCAAAAUUUUUUGGACUCAACAGUUCAUUUUAAAUGCUUUUGUUGUAAUCUUUGUGAAACAGUGAAUGGGCAGGGAUUUUAAUUUUUCUCUAAAAAUAAAACAUUUUAAAAU
ensembl:lncRNA